UGUACACAACAUGUGGUUAGGUCUCA
rnacentral:piRNA from 1 species